rnacentral:misc_RNA from 1 species
GAUGAAGAACGUAGCGAAAUGCGAUAAGUAAUGUGAAUUGCAGAAUUCAGUGAAUCAUCGAAUCUUUGAACGCAUCUUGCGCUCCUUGGUAUUCUGAGGAGCAUGCCUGUUUGAGCGUCAUUACAACCCUCAAGCUCUGCUUGGUGUUGGGCCCCGCCGCCCCGGCGGGCCCUAAAGUCAGUGGCGGUGCCGUCCGGCUCCGAGCGUAGUAAUUUUUCUCGCUUUGGAGGCCCGGGCGCGUGCUUGCCAUCAACCCCCAAUUUUUUUCAGGUUGACCUCGGAUCAGGUAGGGAUACCCGCUGAACUUAAGCAUAUCAAUAAGCGGAGGA